CAGUAGCCGCGGGAAUACAGAGGGUGCAAGCGUUAAUCGGAAUUACUGGGCGUAAAGCGCGCGUAGGUGGUUUGUUAAGUUGGAUGUGAAAGCCCCGGGCUCAACCUGGGAACUGCAUCCAAAACUGGCAAGCUAGAGUACGGUAGAGGGUGGUGGAAUUUCCUGUGUAGCGGUGAAAUGCGUAGAUAUAGGAAGGAACACCAGUGGCGAAGGCGACCACCUGGACUGAUACUGACACUGAGGUGCGAAAGCGUGGGGAGCAAACAGGAUUAGAUACCCCUGUAGUCCCUGUCUCUUAUAA
rnacentral:rRNA from 1 species